AACGAACGCUGGCGGCAGGCCUAACACAUGCAAGUCGAGCGCCCCGCAAGGGGAGCGGCGGACGGGUGAGUAACGCGUGGGAACGUACCCUUUGCUACGGAAUAGCCUCGGGAAACUGGGAGUAAUACCGUAUGUGUCCUUCGGGAGAAAGAUUUAUCGGCAAGGGAUCGGCCCGCGUUGGAUUAGGUAGUUGGUGGGGUAAUGGCCUACCAAGCCGACGAUCCAUAGCUGGUUUGAGAGGAUGAUCAGCCACACUGGGACUGAGACACGGCCCAGACUCCUACGGGAGGCAGCAGUGGGGAAUCUUAGACAAUGGGCGCAAGCCUGAUCGAGCCAUGCCGCGUGAGCGAUGAAGGCCUUAGGGUUGUAAAGCUCUUUCAGGGGGGAAGAUAAUGACUGUACCCCCAGAAGAAGCCCCGGCUAACUCCGUG
rnacentral:rRNA from 1 species